AGAAAGAAAUAACAUAUUCAAAAUUCUGAAAAAAAGUGCUGCCAUCCAAACAUACUAUUCCCAGCAAUGUUAUCCUUCAUAAAUAAAUGAGAAGUAAAGUCUUUCCCAGAAAAGCAAAAGCUGAAGAAAUUCAUCACCACUAGAUCACUUCUAUAAGAAAUGUUUAAGUAGGUCCUGCACAUAGAAGCAAAAGGACAAUAUCUACCAUCAUGAAAAUACACAAAAGUAUAAAACCCAUUAAUAGGGCAAACACACAAAUAAGGAAGAGAAAGUGCUCAAAUGUUACCACUACA